GAGAGGGGGGCGGCCCGGGAGUCAGGGAGGUCCAGCCGCUCGGGUGUGCGCUGUGCGCGGCUGCCAUUUUGGAGUCGGGCAGCUGAGACGGCGGCCGGGUCCGGCCCGGGGGAAAGGGAGAAGCCAGUCAGAUGAGAAGAUGGAGGUCCAAAGUAUUGAAGAGAAAUGGCCAUUGUCACAAAGCUGAAGAAGAGCUCUGCUGUUAACUCCACCCAAUCCUCUUUGAUGGCAGUAAUGGCACCCCCAGCAAGAGCAAUUAUUUCCUGCUGCAAUAAUCAGGAGGACAACAUAGAACAGAGGACAGUUGAGCUUGGACUGAAAGGAUGAUUACGUUUCACUGAACACAGAAUUGGGGGAGGGCCGUUCAAGCAAGUGACACGGCAGGAGCAAAGGUGCUGAGGCAGAAAGCGCGAUGCUGUUUUGGUGUGGCUGGACAGAUGGUUUGUGUGGGCAGACAGUGGGAGAGAAGACUAGAAACCUGUUUCUUCCAUGGCAUGUGCUAGGAACUUUUUCAUUUCAGUUGCUAUACUGAAUAAAUAAAUUAAGGACGGUUGGUAGAAAGAACCCCACAAUGAAAAGCAGGAGACCAGACGUCAGUGUUGUCACCAAUUUUCUGGAGUCCUUCAAAGGAAUCACUGUGGGGCUGUGUUAUUCUUAGCGUUGAGUGGAGGUAAUUGGGCUAGUGCCUACCUGGUCCUAAGGGUUACCAGGGUGAAAUGAACGAUCUGGAAGAAGACUCUUAGAAAAGUAAAACUACUUUCCCCCCUAUCAUGAAUUGUUAUGGAUUAAAGUAAAUUUAGAUAUUCCUGGUAGCAA